rnacentral:rRNA from 1 species
UACGUAGGGUGCGAGCGUUGUCCGGAAUUAUUGGGCGUAAAGAGCUCGUAGGCGGCUUGUCGCGUCGGAUGUGAAAGCCCGGGGCUUAACUCCGGGUCUGCAUUCGAUACGGGCAGGCUAGAGUUCGGUAGGGGAGAUCGGAAUUCCUGGUGUAGCGGUGAAAUGACGCAGAUAUCAGGAGGAACACCGGUGGCGAAGGCGGAUCUCUGGGCCGUAACUGACGCUGAGGAGCGAAAGCAUGGGGAGCGAACAGG